GGGCCCGUAGCUCAGUUGGAUAGAGCGAACGGCUACGAGCCGUUAGGUCGGGAGUUCGAAUCUCUCCGGGCCCAUCA
rnacentral:tRNA from 1 species